rnacentral:rRNA from 1 species
CCUACGGGGGGCUGCAGUGGGGAAUAUUGGACAAUGGGGGGAACCCUGAUCCAGCCAUGCCGCGUGUGUGAAGAAGGCCCUCGGGUUGUAAAGCACUUUCAGUGAGGAAGAACGCCUGGUGGUUAAUACCCAUCAGGAAAGACAUCACUCACAGAAGAAGCACCGGCUAACUCCGUGCCAGCAGCCGCGGUAAUACGGAGGGUGCGAGCGUUAAUCGGAAUUACUGGGCGUAAAGCGCGCGUAGGUGGCUUGAUAAGCCGGUUGUGAAAGCCCCGGGCUCAACCUGGGAACGGCAUCCGGAACUGUCAAGCUAGAGGGCAGGAGAGGAAGGUAGAAUUCCCGGUGUAGCGGUGAAAUGCGUAGAGAUCGGGAGGAAUACCAGUGGCGAAGGCGGCCUUCUGGACUGACACUGACACUGAGGUGCGAAAGCGUGGGUAGCAAACAGGAUUAGAUACCCUAGUAGUC